UCUUUUUUUUUAAAAGCGUACUUGCAUACUUUAGUCACAUGAAACUGGUUGCAGGAGGAACUCUUAAACAAUCGUCAACUGGCAGCUUUGCUUAUUUGUAAAGACUACUUACAUAAAGGCAGUGAGUGUUAUACUGUAUACAUCCUGAACAGAAGGCAUCUGGGUGCUGGUAAUAUUCUUUGCCACCUUCACCACACUCUCCAGAGAUUUACAUCUUUGAGCUGAGCAUGUGCUGUUCCAUGAUGUUAUGAAUCCAGUGUACUGUGCAACUGUGGAGGUUUGUGGGGAGCCUUUUUCACAAGAGACAAAAUUUGUUAUGCCUACUUCAGUUUGUCGGUCAUAGUCAGUCUAAGAAAUUUAAAACUGCUCGCCCUUUAGAUUGUAUUCCCUCUUCUAUGGAUGGCAGUGUGGUCAGAGUGGCCUUUUCCUUCCUAAAGUUUAAGACCAGCAACUUGGUUUUCCUGACAUUAAGGGUGAGAUUGUUGCCCUAGCACCAUGGCAUCUACAGGUAAACCACAUCUGUGUCAUUCAUGAUGGUGCUGUCAUCAGCAAAUUUAAUGAUGGAGUUGGAGUUGUUUCUGGCCACGCAGUCAUAGGUGAACAACAAGGAUGGAAGACGACUUACGACACUACCCUGCAUGGUGCCUGUUUUGAGGAUGUUGCCAGUCCACAUAUGCUGAGGUUUGUUGGUUAGUGAUUCUAAAAUCCAGUUGCAGAGGGUGGCACUAAGUCCUAAAUUGAGGGGUUUGGUAGUUAUCUUUGAUAAAACAGCCAUGUUAAAUAAUGAGCUGUCAUCUAUAAACAAAAAGGGAAGACUGACAUUUUGAAGCAAGGAAGACAAAAGUUUCAAGGUAAGGUAGUAAUACUCAUCAAUCAUGGUACUGGAGAGUAGUACAAUGUUGCAUGUUGAUUACCAUAUGAAAUUAAGAAAAUCUGAGGUGUGGGAAUUUUAAUCCAUUAAAAUAUUGCCCACUGAGGGUUGAUAUGUCAUGGUUGUUGUGAAUUUAUUUAAAUCCAAAAUAAUUUUCGUUAACGUAUACUAUAUGCUCUGAAUAUGGACAAAGGAGAAUUUAGGCAGAAUAGAUUACUUCCCAAAGUGAAAAUGGAUGGAGAUUUUAUUUGUGUAUUAAAUCCGGACUUAGAUGGGUUCAACUGCAACUGUAACAUUUAAACUUACAAAGACAAUUACACAAUCUAUUAAGGAUCAAAAUCUGUCUGACUCAUGUAGAAUUUUGUUUCCAAUUCAAGAGAAUGUUCAUUCUUCUCAUCAGUACAUAAUAAUUAUUCAAGAAUUUAUUGUUAAUAAUUUUCUACCCAUUAUCACAUUUUGUAAGUACAUGUACAACCAUGCACCACUUAUUUUGGAGAUUACAUUAUUAUGCCCUAUUGCCUUAUCUUAGAAUUGGCAUAUUAACCCCUUAUUAAUAGCAGACGAGGACUUUCUAGAAUUAAUCUCUAUACAAAUUAAUAUUUUUUAGACAUCAGUGCUUCCCCUUUAAACUCUAGGAAAGAUAGAAGGAAGUUUUAAAAGGACAAAUCAUAUUGUGUGUUUUGUAUAAGAAUAAAUUGGUGUUAGAACUGACUUUGGAGAUUUCCUGAAUUUACCAUGAAUAUGUUAGAUCACCUAGUCUUUUGACUCUACACAGGGAAACAGAUCAACUUAUCUUUAAAUAACAUCUUCAUUAUUAUGAAUAUGGAGGCAAGACAAUAAGAUUUUAGCUCAAUAAAUACAUAAACAGGAAGUCUGAAAUGUAGUAAUAGAGAUAAACAGUGUAACUGGAAAUAACAUCAGGGAGCACAAAGAAUUAUCUAUCACAAUCAAGGAAUAAUAUAAGUCCUUAUAUUCCUCUCAGUAUUGAGAAAACAAGGCUCAAAUUAAGGAUUUCUCUUUUUGAUCAAAUAUAAAAACCACAACUUUGUACAUAUUACCAGAUGCCAUAAAGCCAUUGCAGAAUGGAAAAGCUGCACAACCAGAUGGAUAUCCAACUGAAUGUAUUUAAAGAAAAAAAAAUUUUAAGUCAGCCCCAGUAUUGUUAGAGAAAAUAAAAUUCUACCUUAAACAUUACACCUAGUGUCAAUUACUGUGUUUCCUAAGAGCAAUAAAGACUUGCUACAUACUGUGUCAUAUAGACCAAUUUUACUCCUAAA